UUGAAGGCUCUUUUUAGAGCCACACAUAGAACAUAUUUUUUUUG
rfam:Struthio camelus australis contig58497, whole genome shotgun sequence.